rnacentral:rRNA from 1 species
ACGCUGGCGGCAGGCCUAACACAUGCAAGUCGAGCGGUAGAGAGAAGCUUGCUUCUCUUGAGAGCGGCGGACGGGUGAGUAAUGCCUAGGAAUCUGCCUGGUAGUGGGGGAUAACGUUCGGAAACGAACGCUAAUACCGCAUACGUCCUACGGGAGAAAGCAGGGGACCUUCGGGCCUUGCGCUAUCAGAUGAGCCUAGGUCGGAUUAGCUAGUUGGUGGGGUAAUGGCUCACCAAGGCGACGAUCCGUAACUGGUCUGAGAGGAUGAUCAGUCACACUGGAACUGAGACACGGUCCAGACUCCUACGGGAGGCAGCAGUGGGGAAUAUUGGACAAUGGGCGAAAGCCUGAUCCAGCCAUGCCGCGUGUGUGAAGAAGGUCUUCGGAUUGUAAAGCACUUUAAGUUGGGAGGAAGGGCAGUUGCCUAAUACGUAACUGUUUUGACGUUAUCGACAGAAUAAGCACCGGCUAACUCUGUGCCAGCAGCCGCGGUAAUACAGAGGGUGCAAGCGUUAAUCGGAAUUACUGGGCGUAAAGCGCGCGUAGGUGGUUUGUUAAGUUGGAUGUGAAAUCCCCGGGCUCAACCUGGGAACUGCAUUCAAAACUGACUGACUAGAGUAUGGUAGAGGGUGGUGGAAUUUCCUGUGUAGCGGUGAAAUGCGUAGAUAUAGGAAGGAACACCAGUGGCGAAGGCGACCACCUGGACUGAUACUGACACUGAGGUGCGAAAGCGUGGGGAGCAAACAGGAUUAGAUACCC